rnacentral:misc_RNA from 1 species
GAGAAGAACGUAGCGAAAUGCGAUAAGUAAUGUGAAUUGCAGAAUUCAGUGAAUCAUCGAAUCUUUGAACGCACAUUGCGCCCGCCAGUAUUCUGGCGGGCAUGCCUGUUCGAGCGUCAUUACAACCCUCAGGCCCCCGGGCCUGGCGUUGGGGAUCGGCGGAGCCCCCCGUGGGCACACGCCGUCCCCCAAAUACAGUGGCGGUCCCGCCGCAGCUUCCAUCGCGUAGUAGCUAACACCUCGCGACUGGAGAGCGGCGCGGCCACGCCGUAAAACACCCAACUCUUCUGAAGUUGACCUCGAAUCAGGUAGGAAUACCCGCUGAACUUAAGCAUAUCAAUAAGCGGAGGA